rnacentral:rRNA from 1 species
GAGUUUGAUCGUGGCUCAGGAUGAACGCUAGCGGCAUGCCUAACACAUGCAAGUCGAACGGGAUCCGGACUUCGGUCCGGUGAGGGUUGGCGGACGGGUGAGUAACGCGUGGGAACCUGCCCAAUGGUCUGGGAUAACCGCGGGAAACUGCGGCUAAUACCGGAUAACGCCCGAGAGGGAAAGAUUUAUCGCCGAUGGAGGGGCCCGCGUCCGAUUAGGUAGUUGGUGAGGUAACGGCUCACCAAGCCGACGAUCGGUAGCUGGUCUGAGAGGAUGAUCAGCCGACACUGGGACUGAGACUACGGCCCAGGCUCCUACGGGAGGCAGCAGUAGGGAAUCUUCCGCAAUGGACGAAAGUCUGACGGAGCAAC